AUGUCUUCUUCAAGCUCCCGCGCCACCUCGCGGAUCCAGAGCCCGUCGCGCGUGGAGAUGCCGAUCUUCGUCUGUCCGCGGUGCCGGGUGGGCGUUGAUCGGAGGGUUUCUCGCGCACUGAAGAACCAUAAUCAUCCGUUUUACAUGUGCAGCGAGAAUGGGGUGAAAUGUUUCUUCCUUUGGGUAGAUGCUCUGGCCAAGACUCUAAUGAAACUGCAAGAAGAGCAUGAAGAAUGGUUGCCCAUCCUGCCACGAACGGCAGUGGCCGCAACACGAGCUCCGGAAGAAGAGUCGGAGCGCAGAGCACGCAAUGAUAGAGAGCUGGCAGUUGAGCUUAGGAGGUUGCAUAAGAAGGUUUGGAAGCUCGAAGAUCAAGCAUAAAUACCCACUUGCAAUUCCUUUUGGGUAUUUGUUGGGAUGGUAAUCGCACUGGGUGUAAUGCUGAAAUUGUAUGGAAAGGCAUGA
rnacentral:rRNA from 1 species